rnacentral:tRNA from 2 species
GUGAGUGUCGUUUAUAGUCUUAAGAUUGCAGACUGUUAAUUUGUAGAAACGUAUGAAUUUGUUGCUUGCU